rnacentral:rRNA from 1 species
GUGGGGAAUAUUGCACAAUGGGCGCAAGCCUGAUGCAGCAACGCCGCGUGAGGGAAGACGGUCUUCGGAUUGUAAACCUCUGUCCUUGGUGACGAAACAAAUGACGGUAGCCGAGGAGGAAGCCACGGCUAACUACGUGCCAGCAGCCGCGGUAAUACGUAGGUGGCAAGCGUUGUCCGGAUUUACUGGGUGUAAAGGGAGCGCAGGCGGGGAAGCAAGUCAGUUGUGAAAACUAUGGGCUUAACUCAUAGAUUGCAGUUGAAACUGUUUCUCUUGAGUGGAGUAGAGGUAAGCGGAAUUCCGAGUGUAACGGUGAAAUGUGUAGAGAUUCGGAGGAACACCAGUGGCGAAGGCGGCUUACUGGGCUCUAACUGACGCUGAGGCUCGAAAGUGUGGGGAGCAAACAGG